CAUAUCCUAAAGGAUCUUCUCGGUGAUGGAACAUUCACAGUUGACCAGGUCAGAUUCAAGAACAGAGAAAAGUCUCAAGGUGCGAAUUUUCAGGGAAAGUAUCUUGAGUAAAGUGCAGUAAAACUCGCGCGUAUAAUUACUGAAUCAGCUAAUAACAGACAAAGUGUCGACGACAUAAGUGAUUUAUUCAUGAAAAUCAGUUGGAUUCAAUAUUCAAAGUGAAGGUCUUAAGAAAUUGUCAAACAUCGGACCAGAGGCUAAGUUAAAGGAAAGGUCAAAGUGCUUGAUGAUGGACAAGAUCAUUUCUGUUGAAGAAAGAAGAUAUUCUGCAAAUCAACAACGUACACAUCCAAAAUACUUCAUAAUUGGUGGAAAGGAGGCUGGCUACAUCUAUUGCCAUAAUUUGGUUCAUUUACAUGCUCUGCAAACAUCCCGAGAUUCAAGAUAAGGUUGAAUAAGAAAUCAAAGAAGCAAUAAACAUUAUUUUGACUUAUUGACUUAUGACUU